GAUGAACGCUAGCUACAGGCUUAACACAUGCAAGUCGAGGGACCGGCACACGGGUGAGUAACACGUAUCCAACCUGCCCUUUACUCGGGGAUAGCCUUUCGAAAGAAAGAUUAAUACCCGAUGUAAAGGAUGGGGAUGCGUUACAGUAGGUUGUUGGUGAGGUAACGGCUCACCAAGCCUUCGAUGGUUAGGGGUUCUGAGAGGAAGGUACCCCACAUUGGAACUGAGACACAGUCCAAACUCGUACGGGAGGCAGCAGUGAGGAACAUUGGGCAAUGGGCGUUAGCCUGAACCAGCCAAGUAGCGUGAAGGAUGAAGGCUUAUGGGUCGUAAUUUUCUUUUAUAUAAGAAUAUGUAUUAUAUGAAUAAGGAUCGGCUAACUCCGUGCCAGCAGCCGCGGUAAUUC
rnacentral:rRNA from 1 species